CUUAAAGGGACCGACAGGCAAAGACAAAUGUGGGAUCUUAAAAAGGAGGAAAACAUAUUUAAUAACUGGAUUUAGAAAGAGAAAAAAAAAAAAGUUUAGGAUUUUAGAUCUGCCUAGCUAAUGACCAUCUAAUGGCCAACAGAUUUGGGACAUUAAACAGUGCCCAGUGAAUAACAAAGCAGUUUAUCAAAAAGAAGACAUCUU